CAGCCGCCGCGGUAAUACGGAGGGAGCUAGCGUUGUUCGGAAUUACUGGGCAUAAAGCGCGCGUAGGCGGUUACUCAAGUCAGAGGUGAAAGCCCGGGGCUCAACCCCGGAACUGCCUUUGAAACUAGGUGACUAGAAUCUUGGAGAGGUCAGUGGAAUUCCGAGUGUAGAGGUGAAAUUCGUAGAUAUUCGGAAGAACACCAGUGGCGAAGGCGACUGACUGGACAAGUAUUGACGCUGAGGUGCGAAAGCGUGGGGAGCAAACAGGAUUAGAUACCCGAGUAGUCCCUGUCUCUUAUAC
rnacentral:rRNA from 1 species